UGUUAGAAAUUUCAUCCAUUUGUCAUGUUAAAAAUUGGCGUGGCUAACAGAAUAACUAGACAGUAUCACUUGGCAUGCCAUGUGUACCUCAUGCUAAUGUAUAGGAAUUAGUUUUUAAUAAUAGAAAUUGAUGAAAUUUUUAACA
rfam:Gossypium arboreum cultivar AKA8401 contig_270_1, whole genome shotgun sequence.